UGGGGAAUAUUGCACAAUGGGCGCAAGCCUGAUGCAGCAACGCCGCGUGAACGAUGAAGGUCUUCGGAUCGUAAAGUUCUGUUGCAGGGGAAGAUAAUGACGGUACCCUGUGAGGAAGCCCCGGCUAACUACGUGCCAGCAGCCGCGGUAAUACGUAGGGGGCUAGCGUUAUCCGGAUUUACUGGGCGUAAAGGGUGCGUAGGUGGUCUUUUAAGUCGGUGGUUAAAGGCUACGGCUCAACCGUAGUUAGCCUCCGAAACUGGAAGACUUGAGUGCAGGAGAGGGAAGUGGAAUUCCCAGUGUAGCGGUGAAAUGCGUAGAUAUUGGGAGGAACACCAGUAGCGAAGGCGGCUUUCUGGACUGCAACUGACACUGAGGCACGAAAGCGUGGGUAGCAAACAGG
rnacentral:rRNA from 1 species